AGGGGAAAGCAGGCAAUCGGGGGAGAAUGACUUUUUACGAGUCAUUCUUUUCAGGAAAGUCCGAACUCCACAGGAACAACGCGCUUCGUAACCCGAAGGCAGUAACGACAGUUUAAUUACCAUCGAAGCUGACGGAAAGUGCAACAGAAAGUAAACCGCCUAUCCGGGCAUUUAUGCCGCAGGAGGUAAGGGUGAAAGGGCAGGGUAAGAGCCUACCGGUGUCAGGGUGAUCUGGCAGCCCGGCAAACCCCGCGUGGAGCAAAGCCAAAUAGGAGUUGCGAAAUUCUUCGGAAUUUACCCUUUGUUCCAAGGGUUGAUUUACUUCGUGCAACUUGGGUAGGCUGCAUGAGGCAGAUGGUGACAUCUGUCCCAGAUAAAUGAUUGCCUCGGGUGAUUUUCAUUCAAGACAGAAUUCGGCUUAUCGCUUUCUUCUAAUA
rnacentral:RNase_P_RNA from 1 species